AUGGUAAAAUGAGUAGUUUACGAAUAACUUUGGCAUAGAAAAUAGUCAUAUACACAUAAAGAAAUUGGGGGAGUACCCUUUACACAAUAGAGUAAAUGUACUAGCUAAUAUUUCAACCUCACAUGGUGUAAAAGUUUGAAUUUUUCGAAUUGCAGAGUAUGGUCUCGGAAAUGAGAUGUCAACUAAUGGGGAUGUUUACAGUUAUGGAAUCUUGUUGUUGGAGAUGAUAACAAGGAAGAGACCUACUGACAAAAUGUUUGAGGCAGACCAUAAUCUUCAUAAGUUUGCAAGGAUUGCCUUGCCUGAACGUGUGAUAGAGAUCGUAGACCCUAUGCUCUUAACCGAGGAGACAAAUAGCAGCAAAAUGAUGGAAAAUCUGAUCUCCCUCAUCAAGAUAGGAUUGGCAUGCUCUAUAGAGUCCCCAAAAGACAGAAUGAACAUAAGUACUGCGCUCCAUGAGCUUCAUCUAGUCAAGAACAAUAUUUUGCAGGUCCAAACAUCGGGGACCCGUAGCUCGCACGUUUGACAAAUUUGCUCGGCACGCUCACGGUAAUUUUUGAUUUUGUUGAACACGCUUGAUGGCCGAAGAAGCCUGAAUUUUGUUUUGUUUUAAUUAUGUAGUAGCAUCGUGUGUACUUGUAAUUAAGACACUUGUAUCUUUUGUUGAUGGUUGUACUGGACUUGUGGCCAAGACCGUGGUUAUGCUUAUGUUUAAUUCAGGAUGUUUGUAAUAACUUUAACCUAUCUUACACUUAGCUCUGGUUAAUUUAUCAAGCUUCCGCAUUUUCUGUUA